rnacentral:rRNA from 1 species
UACGGAGGAUGCGAGCGUUAUCCGGAUUUAUUGGGUUUAAAGGGUGCGUAGGCGGGCUUUUAAGUGAGAUGUGAAAUACUCGGGCUCAACUUGAGUGCUGCAUUUCAAACUGGAAGUCUAGAGUGCAGGAGAGGAGAAUGGAAUUCCUAGUGUAGCGGUGAAAUGCGUAGAGAUUAGGAAGAACACCAGUGGCGAAGGCGAUUCUCUGGACUGUAACUGACGCUGAGGCUCGAAAGCGUAGGGAGCAAACAGG